AUUGAACGCUGGCGGCAUGCCUUACACAUGCAAGUCGAACGGCAGCACGGGAGCAAUCCUGGUGGCGAGUGGCGAACGGGUGAGUAAAGUAUCGGAACGUGCCCAGUCGUGGGGGAUAACGUAGCGAAAGCUACGCUAAUACCGCAUACGAUCUAUGGAUGAAAGCGGGGGAUCGCAAGACCUCGCGCGAUUGGAGCGGCCGAUAUCAGAUUAGGUAGUGGGUGGGGUAAAGGCCCACCAAGCCGACGAUCUGUAGCUGGUCUGAGAGGACGACCAGCCACACUGGGACUGAGACCCGCCCCAGACUCCUACGGGAGGCAGCAGUGGGGAAUUGUGGACAAUGGGCGCAAGCCUGAUCCAGCAAUGCCGCGUGCAGGAUGAAGGCCUUCGGGUUGUAAACUGCUUUUGUACGGAACGAAAAGGCUCUCACUAAUACUGGGGGCUCAUGACGGUACCGUAAGAAUAAGCACCGGCUAACUACGUGCCAGCCGCCGCAGUAA
rnacentral:rRNA from 1 species